AUGUCGUAACAAGGUUUCCGUAGGUGAACCUGCGGAAGGAUCAUUAAAGAGUUGUCCUGCACCCCCUCUGGGGAUGAGGUCUACGGGUGAGGCGUCGGAGGUUAAACCCCCAGGGUCCCCCGGUCCUCUUCCACCCUUGUCGUAUACCUUCCACGUUGCUUUGGCGGGCCUGGGUACGUCCUUCUGGGCACCCUGCCGGCGUCGGACUUCGUCCCCGCCGGCGAGCGCCCGCCAGAGACCCUUUACCAUUCUGAUUCUUUUCAAUGUCGUCUGAGCAAAAAACACAAAAUAAAAUAAAA
rnacentral:misc_RNA from 1 species